rnacentral:rRNA from 1 species
UGCGCAGGCGGAUUGUUAAGCAAGACGUAAAAUCCCCGGGCUUAACCUGGGAAUGGCGUUUUGAACUGGCAGUCUAGAGUGCGUCAGAGGGGGGUGGAAUUCCACGUGUAGCAGUGAAAUGCGUAGAGAUGUGGAGGAACACCGAUGGCGAAGGCAGCCCCCUGGGAUGACACUGACGCUCAUGUACGAAAGCGUGGGUAGCAAACA